rnacentral:rRNA from 1 species
AACGUAGGUUCCGAGCGUUAUCCGGAUUUACUGGGCGUAAAGCGCGUUCAGGCGGUUUGGCAAGUCGGGCAUGAAAUCUCUCGGCUCAACCGGGAGAGGUUGUCCGAUACUGCUGGACUUGAGGGCAGUAGAGGGUGGUGGAAUUCCGGGUGUAGUGGUGAAAUGCGUAGAUAUCCGGAGGAACACCAGUGGCGAAAGCGGCCACCUGGACUGUACCUGACGCUGACACGCGAAAGCUAGGGGAGCGAACGGG